GACGAGCUCUUUGGCUGACUUUCGCUUCAAGGAGCUGACAACACCAGCUUUCCUUCCAACGCAGUGUUUACACAGUUACAUAUGUCUGGACUCACAAGAGCGCUAGAGGGCUGUUGCCCGUCGUGGCCCGUGCUGCAUCGCUAAGACACGAGGAGCACGGCGCAACAGAUAACGGUUAUGGCCUUUAAGGUGGAGGUACAUCCAUUAUCGUCCUUAAAGAGCUGAGUGACAGAUGGGUUGGCCCACCUCUCUGAGGAUAGUGUUAUGUGGACCUGUCUGUGCCUGACAGGACGGCAGAGAUCAAACGACAUUGUGGAAGGUGAAGAGCCUUUCCUUUCGCCAGCUUCGCUGUGUGACACGUGGCAGAAGAGGCCAGUUGCAGCCUGACUGACCAGGGAGUCAAACUGCUUACUAACCUGUUUAGUAUACAAAAUGCUAGCACUGAAUGCUGGCAGAGUGGAAGUGAGUGCUAAAAUACUGUCUGCAUCAACAUCUGUCCACCAUCAUCAUCAUCUGACCUUCUCAUAUUACUGUUAGGGGAGUAAUAUUUUAGUAAUCAAGAAGCAGAAAUCGUAAUCAAGAUAGUAAUCAGUGUGCCAUAUUUCAGUAAGACACAUUUAUAAGUUCCACAAGUAGUAAUUCUAUUAUAAUAGAUACACACAGAAAAACAUCAUAUAAUCAUAUUAAAUUUAAUCUAAAAAGUCAUUAUAUUACAGGGUAAUUUAAAAAAAAAAUGUAUCGGUAACAUAUCAGUGUAUCAAUAACAUAUGCUAUAUUUUUUGUAUAAGACACAUUUAUGUACAAGAGGAAUUUACAAGUUGUUACUGUAAUAAUAUGAUUUUAACAUUUGCAUUAAAAAAACGUUACAUUUAUUUUUUAAACAAGUCAGAAUGUUAAAGGGCGAUUUUGUAAAAAAAGUGACAAAAUUAUAUCAAUAACUCAUUUCAGUUACUGAAUUGUAUUACCUUUACGGUCCUAAUUCUUUUAGCUACCAUGAAUAAUUUAAGUUUAAAGCAAAAGUCUAAGUGGUACCUACUUUAUUAUUUUGCUAAAUGGGUUAAAUCAUUUUAACUAAAAUAUAUUUUUCAGCUAAUAAGUCAAGGACAGUCUUCAACUAGCUGCUUUAAUGAAAUAAUGUUCAUUUUAAAUGAUAAAGGUUAAUUCUUUGCGGUCAUACAAUUUUAAUUUCAUAACUAGUGUUACAAAAGCCACCGACGGCCACACAGUUAUGAUAAAAUCCUGUAUGAUUUUAGUACCAGCAAGCAACAUUAGCAUGUGUAAUUUAUGUUAACAUUUAACUAACAACCAAGAUAUUAUACAGUAUAUUAUAUUUUAA